rnacentral:rRNA from 1 species
UACGAAGGGGGCUAGCGUUGCUCGGAAUUACUGGGCGUAAAGCGCACGUAGGCGGCUUUCUAAGUCGGGGGUGAAAUCCUGGAGCUCAACUCCAGAACUGCCUUCGAUACUGGAGAGCUUGAGUCCGGGAGAGGUGAGUGGAACUGCGAGUGUAGAGGUGAAAUUCGUAGAUAUUCGCAAGAACACCAGUGGCGAAGGCGGCUCACUGGCCCGGUACUGACGCUGAGGUGCGAAAGCGUGGGAGCAA